AGCAUUUUGAAGUCUGAGAGCAUUUUGCCACAACUUUCAGCCAUUCUUUCAUCUAUCAGAGAAUGCACUCCAGGCCAGUGUGCUAACCUCUGAUUUUCCAGCCUCGGUGUAAAUCCUGAUGAAAGUGUGCGUGGUUGGCGUGCCUUAGCGUGAGAUGGGUUGUGCUGAGCGCCCAGCGAGUCCGGGCUGCAGCCAGUGGGGCUCUCCUGGCCAGCAAGGAGAGGCAGUAAGUUGGGACAUGACCACCUGGAAGACCACACGUUCAGGUGCUUCACACCUUCAGGAGCUUUGCGGUUUUGGGACUUCAGCCUCCAUCUCCAAGUUUCUUGAAAUCCAACAGGCCCUGGAUGAGGUCCAGCCUAAAUACCCAAUCUACAUUUUCAUGAGUCAUUGCAGGAGCUGGAACAGAUCAAGACAGACACACGUACCCGCCUGCCCUGGGACACACUUUCUGUCUGUCUCCCUUCCUGAGCACUCUUCAAAGUCUUGGGUUUUCGUGACUAUGUCAUCAAAAGGAAAAGCAUUUGUUGCUUGUGUGAAUUUAUUUUGCAUGAUCACGUUUCUACGUCUGGAUGUGGUGGUUUCUAAUCUCAUGGCUUCAAAGAUGUCUGUUCCAGAUAUUCCUGGUGUGGUUAUGAGGUGGAUGUUUCUUCCUGACGAUACGCAUGUUCAAAACCCCUGA
rnacentral:lncRNA from 1 species